UUGCACUCCAGUCGAGCCAGGUAAAUG
rnacentral:piRNA from 1 species